UAUCCAGUAAAUCUGAUUAACAGAUUUACAUAUUCAUAAUUAAUCAUAAUUAAUAAAUCAUAUUGAGUUAUUAAUAAUUAUUAAUAGUUCCCCUUUGAGUUAAUUCGCUACAUCAUGGAGGGUGAUAUGCAUCUUGAGAGACGGUAUACAACCCACAUCGUCACUGUCAUAGGCAAAGGCCUCACAUUCUUUCCGCAACACUCUUCGUACUGCCUCCUGCUGUCCCUCUGAGAGAUGGCAGAGAUCGUCAGGGGGGUCCCAUGAGGUUGGUCUUCUCGCUCCCAUCCUGGCUGUGGUGUGCUACUUGCUUUGUUGGACUUUGUCUCUGUGCUUUCCUUCAUUUCAGCUGCUGUCACAUUUUCUUUCAUUUGCACAGGUGUUGUGUAUACGGUCUUCAUGGGUUCCAAGUGUCCAAUCACUCUAUGAUGGUCCAGACAGAUGGUGCGAUCAGUAGUGUUGGUCACGGAGAUGGGUAUGUAUGGCACUCUCCUUUCUGGGAUCUGCACCAGUACAUCAUUAAAGAUCACACCUUCUGGUGGAGGAUUAAGCAUGUCAGAUCAUGUCAGAUCAUGAAAAGAUCAUGUGUUGGCCCUGUGCACGUGUACUCACAUGUGCUCUUAUGUAGACAGUGGUGACUUGGUUAGCUGGUAAGGGCACUCUUUUGUUUUCACUGUUAUUGUGAAGGCUUUACUCACUUUGUGCGCCAACUGUUUUUUUCCACCUUUAGUCUCUCUCUCAUUUCUGUUAAUGAUGGCCUCAAUGAUGUUGUAACCAAUGAUAGGGUCACUGGCAACUGCUGGGUCGCUUGACACUAGCAUCAGCACUUGUAAAUCAUUAGUUGUACUGGGGUCACUGUUUAGUCUGAAACUGACUUCAAUCCAGCCGAUAUAUGGAAUGAGCAUGUCAUUAGCAGACUGUCAGUGUCUCAUCCUCCAACAACUCUGAGAUGGGUCUGACAACGGUGUGGGGGAGGUAAUUUAGUUGCCAGGGGUCAUUCACUAUGCUGGACUGUGCUCCCGUGUCCCACAGGACUCUAACUGGGCAAUUGUCCAUAACACAGUCCACUAUACACCUGCUUCCUACAAGGCCAACCAACUGUGGCUGGUGUCGAGGUGGUAUAUAGUUAACCACACUUACAGCUUAUGAGGCGCCAGCUGCUCUUUCUUCAAAGGCUAUUGUUGGUUGCAUGAUUGUGCUGGGUGGUGACUGCUCAUUUCGGGGCGCUCGGCUGUGGACUACUGCUGGCCCCACCUCAGUAGUCCCUUCCCGUUUCCCAGCUAGUUCUGCAUCCACGGGAGAAGUGGCCCUCCUGCCCACAUUUGAAACAGUGCAUACAUUUCUCACCUGUUCCCUCAUCUCUGCAGUUCUUGCAACCUUUUACUCUCUGCUUUUGUUCUGCUUUUUGCUGUACUGUUCAUCGGUGUCCUCAUUUGCUGCUUUCCAUAACAGUUUCUCUUUGAGCUCAAUUGCACGGAAUACAAAGUUCAGGGCAGUCUCUUUGGGCUCUUGCGAGAUGUUAAGGAGUUGAUGGUACAGUUCUGUGGAGCUGGGUCAGCCCACUUUUGAUCUCUAACAUGUCUCUCAAAGGCAGCCCUGGACUGACAGCACGGAUGACAGCUUCAACUACUUCAGUCUGGGUGUGCCCUUUUUCUAUUCCCAGCUCAAUCUGGCGGACUAAACUAAGAUAUGACAAUUUAUCCCUCUGACCACUCUCCCCAAUUUGCCCACAAAUUUUAAACUCUCUUUGCAGUGUUACCUCAGGCAAUGGGCAAGUUUGUUCUAGCCGGCUCUUGAAUGGGGAAUCUGUAAUCUUUAGAAAAGACGUGUGGUGAGAAGCAUUUUUCCAGCCCUUCCUUUGGAGCUGGCUCUUCUGAUGGGUACUCUUCGUCUUGGCUACCACACCUUUUACUUUGUCUUUCAAUGAAUGUUAAUAGAUCAGCACAGUACUGUUUAACUUCAUCACUCUCUUGUUUCUACUCAAGCUCAUCUAAAGCAAAUUUGGCCAUCUUGAUGAGUGACCUCCGUGUCCUGCUGCGGGACUCUCCACUGUCCAGGCCAUCACAUUUCAGGUACCUGCAGACAUCCACGAGAGACUCUUCCCCAAGCUGCCACAGAGCUGCACUCACUUGAUCACACAGGAUCUGACCGGCGUCCAUCUUACUGAAGGCUCAACUCAUUGAAAAGGAGGGCGGUUAAUGGGGCUGGUCACUCUGUCACCUCCUCCUGGGCUGGCUCGCCAAAAUAUGUUACACUUUUCAGAAGGAUGCAAUGUCCGUUCUUGGGGCAACACAUUUAUUUCUGUUAAAACACAUGAAAUAGGCAGGUUUAACAAGGAGCACUUUCCGCUUCGUGUGUGCAACACUCAUCAUGUACUGAAUACUAUUUCUAUUGUCAGCUACUGAUGCAUAGUAUGAUGCUCGGAUGCCCCCUGCUGGUGAAGCUAACAAGAACCAUUUUAAACAGAACAGUGCACUCCAGUAAUGCAAAUUAAUUUCAAACUAAUUCACUUUGUUCCCUGACAACAGUUAUUAAUGAGAUAAAAAUUUGAAGGGGGCAUUUUUUUUAUCUGCCUUUUUUAAAUACUCAGCGCUACAAUAACACUGUACAACAUACGAAAGAACAAUUAUUACAAACAGUAAUAAUACACAAGAUGUACUGGGGAAAUGCAUGUUCAUUCAUUUAGAUGAAGUUGUCAAUGAAUUAGUGGCAAAGAUUCUAUUUUUAUAGACCAAAUGCUUCUGGUGACCUGUGUUUUCCUGUCUUUGAAGUAUAGGUGAAGAGCAAAUGGUGAUAGCGCUCAGUGGGGAAGCCAGACAUUACGGGGCCUGGCAAGGGUGAAGGGUUGGAAGAGUUACUGUUUUGUACUGUUUUGAUGCUACAUUAUCCCACUGGAUAAUGGAUGCUAUAGUCUUGGCUUACCAGGCUCAAGACCUGUCAUGCCCCCUAGGGGUGAAAGCACUUCCAUUCUUCCAUUAGAAUCAUCAUUUUGGUUGAGAUUGAAAAUUUAAUGGUAAAUAAUAUUGAAUCAACAUUGACAUUUCAAUGCUUUUCAGUGUUGAAAAAUAUGAACAUUGAAUCAAUGUUGAUUUUUGGUCAGCUUCAUUUCCCCAUGGGUGGAACUUAGACUAAGCUAUGUCAAUCCAUCUGUCCCCUCAUUCAACACUUUAUUCACAUUAGCACUCAUGCUCCUCAUGACCCAUCCCUCUAGUCCCACAAAUAAAUAAAUAAAUAAAACUCCGGCCAACUGAAGUGUGUAGAUAAACUCCAUGUAACCAUUUGGAAGUCAGUGACAUGAACCAGCUGGAGAUUAUUAUUAUAAUAACAUUGCACUCUUUCAACUUAAACAGUAAAUUCACAACUACUCAAAACAUCUCACCUGCACUUUAAGGAUCCACGUCAGACGUUUUUCUGACAUCACGACGCAUGAGCGUCUUGAACUUUCAUAGAUAUAUACACUGGAUGUCGCCUUGGGGUUCUAAGCAUGAGUCAAAACCGCCGCCAUCUUGGAACAGGGGUCUUGUCAUAGGAAGUAGCUAGGUAACGCUGCUAUAUCCACCUGUACUUUGAAUUCAUGGACGAUGCCGGACUUUUGUGCUGCGUAUGGAUGUUCAAACGAAAGAAAUCUAAAAACCAGACAGCAAGGGAUUACAUUUCACAAGUGAGAAUGUGUUUUAUGAUAUUGAAUGUUAUAUUAUUUCUUAUUUAUUGUUAUAAUUAUAUUUCUGGUUACGUUGGUUUAUUUCAGUCCUUGGUUAACGACCGCAGCUAAUCCAUACUAGUUACCCAUUAGUUUUUGACAGUUAGGAAAAUCUUUGCGUGGCAGGGGCAGCUGCCACUGAGACCUGCCACUCGACCUGUCACUGCUAUAUCCGCCUGCCCCGCGUUCUGUCACCGCUGCCACUCGACCUGUCACAGAUAUUUGCGCCUGUCACUCGACCUGCCACGGCUAUACCCGCCUGCCCUGCGACCUGUAUGCAGACACGCCAUCUAUGCUUAAAAUGCAUUGUGCGUCUACAUGAGGUUGCGUGGUAGGUGUUAAGUGUCGGUAGAAAUAUUUUUAAAAUUCAUAAAAAAUAAAUAAAAUGAAACUGUUUACUGCAAACUUCACCUGAUUCUUAUUAUACAUGUUCCCAAGUACCACUCUGGUGAUUUUCAUGUUGUUUUUCUGUUUUAUUCUUUAAUAAUUAAAUGUAAGUAGCGAUAGUUCAUUCGAAGUUUACACGGAAGAAUGUGACUAAUAAACUUAGGCCUACUAGCACUAUGCAUUAUAUUUUUAAAAAGUAGAUUAUCUUAAUAUCAAAACCUUAAAUUUUCUCUGGACUCAAUGAUAAAUACAUGUCUGACCGUUGGAACGAACCAAAAAAAAAAAAAAAAAACCCUAGAAAAUCGCAUUCAUGAAGAUUUAUGGUGAUUUUAUUUCCGUUAGACCUUUGCUUACAUUGACGCUGAUGAAUUAAAGAGGAAGGGCUCCCCUUCCAAGAUGGCGGCUCAUUCGUUCCAAUGAACUGCCGUAGCCAAGGCGACAUCUAGUGUAUAUAUCUAUUUUGAACUUUCUGCUCAAAUUGAUCGAUUUUCUCGGACUGAAAGGUAGGUUAAACGUGGAAAUUUGUCUUACUUUAUGUAUUGGAUAAUGCAGCGUUCAAAUGUGUUUUACAGUUAAUUAACGUUGUUUGUGAACAUGAAUACUAACAGAAUCGCAAUUAAUUGAAUUUAAAAUGAAUUCCUCCUUUUACCGUGUAUGCAGCUCAAGAUAUUUGAAAUGCUGUGGGCGGGAAGUGAGCGUGGUGCGGGAGAAAACGCCCGAGGCACAGUGAGGAUUCCUGCAUUAUAAUAUUGAGUUAAGUUUUUUAAUUAAUAUUUGUCUGUUCUUUUAUUUGUCUUUGACAUGUUAGCUCUGAUUUAAUGUAUAUGUUUGCCCAAAAUGAUGAUCCAAAUCUGUAAGUAAAGACAUUGUGAGUUAACGUUACAUUUGCCUAACUUGGUGUUUUGCUUCGUCCAGGGAAAAAUGUUAGGAUUUUUUUUAGUAUAAAUCAUGAUCAUGAUUUUUUUUUUUAAGUAGUAGAAAUAGUAGGUUAUAAUAGUAGUAUUUGCUCAACUAAUUAAUUGACCUAGAAAACAACUUUCGACCACUAAUAAAUGCUGUAAAAAUGUUUCUCCCCUUAUGGACCUAAAGCUUUUCAAUUUUGUUUGAUGAACGAGGACACUUUGCAAUACAUGUGAUGGUUUGCAUUACUGUGUAUGAAUCAUAAAGGUAUCAGUUAAAUAUCUUCUUUACAUUUCUACUGAAGGGAAAAAAAGACACAUCUUGGAUGGCCUGAAGACUGAAAAUAUUCAUCUGAGAAGAGUGUGUCCUGUAGGCCCUUUUUUCCUGAGAGAAAGUCCUGAAGACCUCAUCAACGAGUACCUUGGAUAAUCAGACAGAUGAUUGUGAGGGUGACCCUGAGCAGCUCUUCGUGGUGGUGUUCAUUAUUCUGAAGGAGGGGGAGAACUUCACAAACCACCUGACAUUGACAUUGUGAUCGAGGGAGUUAAAGUUUUGAAUCACAAAUCAGUUUUGAAUCGCAUCAGCUUGUGCCCUGCUUCUGGGUAUAUACAUCAACCUAUAAUGGUCUAUAUUAAAUAGUUAUAAAUUUAUUGUAAAUAAAAUAUUUACCACAUUUUGAAAAAAUUAUACACUGGUAUUUACUUAUACACAGACUGUAAAAUUUAGUAUAGUAUAGACAAAUUUAAAACAUUGGUAAAUGGAAAGUUUUUCUGUUAAACACAUUUUGUACUUAGCAAAAUAAUUAGCUGAACUCUGCAGGCAGGUAGAUCCCCAGGAACAGGAUUGGGCACCUCUGCAAUACUUCAUUAAAUAAAAAUAACUCAAAAAAGAAAAACAAACAACAACAACAACAAAAACUAAAAUAAAUAAAAUAAACCUUUAGCUGUACAAUUGAAGAUUUUUUUGAAGAUUCAUUUUCAAGAGUCUUUUAUUUUUAAAACCCUGUGACUGUGUGAACAAGUGCUUCUGAACAUGCCAAAACUGAAGAUCAUCUUCUAUCACAACUGCAGUGCUUGAAAGACUUGUGCUUUCUUUGACCACGAUGACAAAAUCAGUGAUGUUUGGCUCUCCCAACGCCUCCUGAAAUAGCAUAGAGGGUCCAACUGUAAGUUUCACUCAGUAGACUAAAAUUAAACAGUUACAUUCACUGAUACUAGCAAUUCUGUUAAUGCAUUAAAUACUUACAUGUCAAGUCUUGAAGAAUUAUGGGUCCUCCUCACACAGGUACACUGAGGAGCACAGAGGGCUAAAGUGCAUUUCAUGUUGACAUCAUGCACACCCUUCAAAGUCAAGCAAAAAUGAACAUGUUAAACAAGCAAGCCAAUUUGAGGUACUUAGUGUUGACAAAUUUCAAUUCACCUGAAGAUCAUAAACAUUUAAAAUAUCACGCAGAGUCUCUGAAAUCUUGUUGAUGAGUGCCGUUUUUUAGUGAUAUCGUGUAACUUUGUACAUACCUAGAAAACCAAAAACACACAAGUGUAUAACCAACAAUGGAUGUUGAAAAGAGAAAGUCAGGUCUGUGUCCAGUUAUCUGAGGAGACAUCAUGCAACUUGCAUUUCAACUCAGUUGAAGUUACCUUAAGUGUUGAAGCUCACUCUUCAGUAAGCAUCCAUAUCAGCCUGCAAGUAAAGAAAGAUUGUAAAGGUUUACUAAUCGUCGAUAAAGCUAGUUUAUUCACAUGAAUGUAGGAAUAAAAUCACAUUUCUCAGAUCAGUGCACUUAACAAAAAGCAGCAACACACUUAUAAAACGUAGGACUGCGAUGACAGAAAAAAAAAAAAAAAAGUAGCUAACGUUAACAUUGUUGCCCUACAUUUUCUUCAUUAAGAUAUCCUUACAAAAGCAAAUAAGAAAAAAAAACAAAAAAAACAAAUGUUUUGCUUUAUUUACAUAAGUUGGCUCCAGACGCUUGUGAAUAUCUGCCACGCUGAAAGGAUUCUUCAGAUGUCAGUUAUGGCAAUGAUGUCAUGUGGAUGACAGUGUAAUGAUGGGUCGACAGAAUGGGGAUCCAUUUGCAGCUUUUAUUAUCAGAUGUAUACAAACAGGUGGGACUUUGGGCAAGAGCAUAAACAGGGACAGGCAAUGGUCGAGACAGGCGGCGAGCAAACAGGGUCGGAGAACAGGCAAGGGUCGAGACAGGCGACUUUACAAUCAGAGUCCAGAUAACAGGCAGAAUUCAGGGCAGGUGGCAAGGUUCAACAGAGAUAAACAGUCCAGUCGGUAAAAAUAGGCAGCAAACAGGGAAAAACGCUCAGAAAUGAUCACCUCGGCAAAUCAAGACUUCGCGAGGUAUGUAUGCAUGUGAGAGUGUUAUAUAGUGUGAGAGUGAUUCAGUUCAGGUGUGUGUGUAAUCAGUCCCAGGAAUGAGGGCCCAUGGGAAACGUAGUCCGAAUCAAUGAAGUUCAAUAUUCCGGUGAUGGUUCCCUCCGGCGGUCCGGAGGACGAGCCGAAGGAGCCCCAUUCAUGACAGACAGCAGUUUACAUCGCUCAGUAAACUUAGAAAUAGUCCUUAAAGUAGCAGCGUUUACUCAGGUUUACAUUCCACCUGUAAAGAGCAAAUAAUAUACAAGUAUUUAUUAAUAAAGGUAACAUGGUCUAACUGAAUGUGCCAAACUUUACUUGAACUUACCAGCUUUCUCAUUGGCUCCAACAGCUCCUUGCUAGUUCAGUCAGAGAAGUAUAAUAAAGAUGAUGUAUGGUCUUAUUUCUUCAGGGCUUGCACUGCUCUGUGUCUGGGGAUUAAAAUCUGCCAUUUCUUCAGUGAUGAUAACACUUAUCUUGAUUAUUACAAAACAGAAAUAUUAAAAGCAAUGUUAUGAGAAAUAAUCACUUAUUCCUGUGUGUCUUAACAUGCUGAGUGAAGCAGCAACUAGUAGCAACAAAAGCUGUGAUGCUGUGUUUGUGUUGUCCAUGAUUUAGCAGUCAUGAGCAUCUGUAACUGUAAAAUCUGCUCACAUUUAUCAACUGAAGAUGAUCUCAGACAUACUAAUGCAUAGGAUUGCAGUACAUGAUCAUCAUAACAAAAAAUCAGUAAAACUAGCUUUUGUAUUUAGUUAAUUGAGGUUAUUUGAAAACAAUGAACUUCUACGACAGUAUAAACAAAUCCUCUUCGCUCACCUUCUUGAAGAAAACAUAGAAUAAAACAACUUUUGCUUAUAACAACUGCAUUUAUAAAAACAUAUGAGCGUGGAAACUAAAAACAAACAAACAAACCUGCUCUUUCUCCUCUUGAAUGCAGGACCGUAAUCAUCCUCUUCCUCAGCUUUGUUUGCAGAUCGGAGUGUUGCUCGUCAAAGUUUAGUGCAGCAUAAACAAUCGAGAUACACAUAACAAUGCUUAGAUCAAAGGUGAAAAAGAUUUUGCCGUUUAUUAGCUGUAGGUGGCAUACUGAAAGUUUUCAGGCAAGCCAAGAAAGCCUCGUUCGCGGCAGUCAUGUGAAGUUAACUUUUAGCAAGUUCCUUUAUAAGCGUCUACAAAAUAAAAAUACUACAAAUGUAAAUAUGCGUCGAUGCUUACUAGAACAAAUGACCCCAUACAUUAAUAUCUCUUGGUAAAUAAUUCAUUGUUUUGCUCGCAUCCGCUCCAAACCGCACAAACAUGGCGGAUAUCACCCACUACCACAGGUACGAGACCCCUCCCACUGCCGCGCGUGUGAAGAUGAAUGAAUCAUCUGAUAGUGCAGUGAAGUGCGUUUAAAAUACAUGAAAGUGUAUAAAAUAACGAAUUGCUACAUUACUUAUAAAUAGAUUUGAUACUAUACAUAUUAGAGUAUGUUCUGUCUUUUAAGGCACUUUUAUUAUAUUAGGCUUUACGCAGAUAUGUUUUUGACAAAUUCGCUACAUUAAACAUGUAACAUUUGUUAAUUCAUAUCAGAUACUACCAGGAAACUGUCAUGUCAUGUCAUGUCAUGUCAUGUCAUGUCAUGUCUUGUUUUGGUAUUGUUACAUGUUCACAGUUUAUGGUUUGUUUUCAUUGUUAUGCUUUGUUUGUUUUGCCAUGUGUUUUGUAUCAUGUGAUUCCAUUGCCCUCAUGUGUUCAUGUCUUGUGAUUCCCCUGUCUCAUGUGUCAUGUUCUGAUUGGUUGUCAUUGUCAUGUGAUUUCAGUUCUGUCUUGCCAUUGGUCCUCUGUCUUCAUUGUUCACAGGUGUUCCUUGUUUUGUCAUUAGUCUCCCUGUAUAAAUAGCCCUUAUGUUCCACUGUACUCUGGUCUAGCUUUGUUUAUUGUAACCUGCUGUUUGGUGUGUGUUAGUGUUUAUAGUCAAGUCUGGUCAAGUCAAGUCACGUCUUGGUUUAUGUUCCUGUUCCUGUUCCUGUUCCUGUUCAAGUUUGUAUGUUGGAUUAUUGUUAUUAAAAUACUGCACAUGGGUUCUACACUACGCUCGCCUCCAGUGGACUCCUCUGUUAAAGAAACAAAGUCAAUUUUAAGACCAUUUUAUGUUAAUUAUUGCUUAUGUAACCAUCUGUGAGUGAACACAAGCUGAGUCAUUGCCAGAAGUGGCACAGAUCUUACGAUGAGCAGGAAUCGGCCCAGUGCUUUACAUCCGUAACAAAUAUACGUGUCCCAGAGCGAGCUGUGGGCCACAAUCGGCCUGAUUAACACAUGCCGAUGCCGAGUCUGAGCCGCAGGCGCCGUGGGGCAGCCGAGCUCGGGACGAUUACUACAUGCUAUCUGGGCACUGACACGACAGCCAGUGGCACAGAUUCCCAACAAAAACUAUCCCAUACCGGCAUGAUGAAUACGAUCUUCAACUAGAUGGAACUGGAUUAAAUAUUUUGACUGUUGCAAUCCCAAUCAGACUUAUGACCUGUAAUGCUGCCUAAAUCAUAAUUGUGCACUGUUUGCUGUUGGCCAGAGGAGAACUGGCCCCCUGACUGAGCCUGGUUUCUCCCAAGGUUUUUUUCUCCAUUUUUAUCACCUGUUUGUCAACUGAUGUCACCUGUUGGAGUUGGGGUUCCUUACCCCACUUUUUCUUGUGUUCUUUGUCGAGUCUUGUACUACAUGGGUGUACGUUUGGUGCUACUUAUUCUGUUCUCAGUUCCCUGGUCUCUAUUGUGAUUAAUAAAUAUGAGGGUAUAAACUAAUAAAUUCUCAAUAAUGACAAAAGUUUUAGAAUAAAGCAACAAGCCCUGAGAAAUGGGAAGGGCUUAAUGCUUAUAUAAAAUGGCUCCUACAUACACCUGAAAAUGUUUAAUAAAAUAAGCUCACAUCAAACAAAAAUUUUUUAAUUUAUUAAUAACAAAAGAUAAUUCCUCCGACAGGCAAUGCAGUUCUUCAUUAACAUUUUGUUAACAGAAUUGUUACCAAGCAACACACGGAUACAAUACUGAUGUGAUUAAGGUCGCAGGUGUGCGUUAAGAGCAGUGUUUUUUUUAAAUUUAACAAAAUAAGUUCAGGAGUGGACCAGGCCAAAAUAACAAACUAAUUUUAAUAUCCUCGAAAUUCCCUAAAAAAAAAAAAAAAAACACAUUAAAAGAAAAAUACAAAGCAACUUCCCUAACUCCCUAAACCCAAAACAUAGAAUAAACAAUAUAUGCAAAAGAAAUGGCGUUGCACUCCUUACUUCCCUUAAAUUGAGUAUUUACAAAUAAUAUUUACACAAUAACUGAAGACAAAAGCAAUAUUGAGAAUUGUAAAUCAAACUGAACAAAAGCAAGAUUUUCAAAGCACACACAAUCAAAGAUGAGACAAAAACAGAGCAAAACAAAUGGCAAAAAGUCGGCCUCGAUAGUGUGUUUGGGGUGGUCCUUAUCAGCAACAGGAAUCGACCAAUCGGGCCCAGACCAAUCAGGAUCUCUGCUGGCUUGAGUGCAGGCCACACCUUCUCCUGCACAGACACACUCAAAAACAACAUUCAAAUACUUCUAAAAAAAAAAACUAAAAAAAAACAUCAGAUGUAACAGUGUGUGUAGCAUAUAAUUUCACAAAGAUAAAGUCAGCUUUAAAUGUUGAAAUUAAAUUUAAUUCAAAUCAAAAACAACUGCUCAUGCAACGUGUGUAGCAUCUGUGGGAUUACAAAUUUGUUCUAUGUUAUAUCUAGGUUCCAAUGUAAUAGUAUAUGAACUGAAAACUUUAUGUAUAUUGUGUCAAGGCAGGCAGACCAGGUGUCUGAGACACUAACCUUUGUCUCAUGCAUUUCCUGACCAUGUGGCAUGACCAGCUCAAGAUACAGCUGUGCUUUUGUCUCUAUGAUAAUGUAAAGGUAUAGGUGAUACUGCCAGACUGAUUGGAUUAGCCCCUAUGCAUUUGAAUAA